CAGAGGGUGCGAGCGUUGUUCGGAAUUACUGGGCGUAAAGGGCGCGUAGGCGGUCUGUUAAGUUCGGUGUGAAAGCCCUCGGCUCAACCGAGGAAGUGCGCCGGAUACUGAUAGACUUGAGUACCGGAGAGGAGGGUGGAAUUCCUGGUGUAGCGGUGAAAUGCGUAGAUAUCAGGAGGAACACCGGUGGCGAAGGCGGCCCUCUGGACGAGUACUGACGCUGAGGCGCGAAAGCGUGGGGAUCAAACAGGAUUAGAUACCCUGGUAGUCCACGCUGUAAACGAUGGAGACUAGGUGUGGGGGGUAUUGACCCCUCCCGUGCCGACGCUAACGCAUUAAGUCUCCCGCCUGGGGAUUACGGCCGCAAGGUUA
rnacentral:rRNA from 1 species